UUUUUCAACUAAUAGAAUGAUUUGAGAAAUAAUUCGAAUAUCCUGUUUGUCAUUUUCUAAAACAAACUUAUAAAAUCGUAAUUUUAUUAACGAGGUUAGAAACAGUUAAACAAAAAUAAAGGAUAUAAAUGAAAUUUUUAUCAGCUAACAAGUUAAUACUUUUUGAGAUGAAACCCUAUUCCCGUCCUUUAACUAUUUUAAUUUUAUUUUGAAUUUUAAAAAUUGCAAAAAAAUUCUUAUCAAGAAAGUUGUUUUUUAUCUUUUCUUUACAAAUUUGUAUCUCGAAUUGUGACUUUGUUACCCAGAAUGUUUUUCAGAGGGAAUUUAUAAAGCCUCCCAGAGUAUCUCUGUCUUGAAAAAUUUCAACUGACCUUAAAUUUCCAUUCCUGAAAAAUAAUUACACACCUACAUGAAUUGGAGAGUUUUAUAGGCGAGAAAAUGACAACGACAGGACGGGUAAAACACACUACACUUUGUGUCAACAAAUUCAAAAAUUUUCAAAUCACUUGCGACCGACCAGUAUAGAUAAAUGUCAUCCGGCUGACCGUUCGUUCUUUGAAUACAAGCUGCAAACUGUAUGCAAGCUACAUAGCGCUAUGUUUAAUUCAGGGGACCCCGAAAAAAAACA